rnacentral:rRNA from 1 species
UACGAAGGGGGCUAGCGUUGCUCGGAAUCACUGGGCGUAAAGCGCACGUAGGCGGAUCUUUAAGUCAGGGGUGAAAUCCUGGAGCUCAACUCCAGAACUGCCUUUGAUACUGAGAGUCUUGAGUCCGGGAGAGGUGAGUGGAACUGCGAGUGUAGAGGUGAAAUUCGUAGAUAUUCGCAAGAACACCAGUGGCGAAGGCGGCUCACUGGCCCGGUACUGACGCUGAGGUGCGAAAGCGUGGGGAGCAAACAGG